rnacentral:rRNA from 1 species
AUUGAACGCUGGCGGCAUGCCUUACACAUGCAAGUCGAACGGUAACAGGUCUUCGGAUGCUGACGAGUGGCGAACGGGUGAGUAAUACAUCGGAACGUGCCCGAUCGUGGGGGAUAACGCAGCGAAAGCUGUGCUAAUACCGCAUACGAUCUACGGAUGAAAGCGGGGGAUCGCAAGACCUCGCGCGGACGGAGCGGCCGAUGGCAGAUUAGGUAGUUGGUGGGAUAAAAGCUUACCAAGCCGACGAUCUGUAGCUGGUCUGAGAGGACGACCAGCCACACUGGGACUGAGACACGGUCCAGACUCCUACGGGAGGCAGCAGUGGGGAAUUUUGGACAAUGGGCGCAAGCCUGAUCCAGCCAUGCCGCGUGCAGGAUGAAGGCCUUCGGGUUGUAAACUGCUUUUGUACGGAACGAAAAAGCUCUCUCUAAUACAGGGGGUGAAUGACGGUACCGUAAGAAUAAGCACCGGCUAACUACGUG